UACGGGGGGAGCAAGCGUUGUUCGGAUUUACUGGGCGUAAAGGGCGCGUAGGCGGCGCCGCAAGUCGACUGUGAAAUCUCCGGGCUUAACCCGGAAAGGUCAGCCGAUACUGCGGGGCUAGAGUGCAGAAGGGGCAACUGGAAUUCUCGGUGUAGCGGUGAAAUGCGUAGAUAUCGGGAGGAACACCUGUGGCGAAAGCGGCUCACUGGACCGCAACUGACGCUGAGGCGCGAAAGCUAGGGGAGCAAACAGG
rnacentral:rRNA from 1 species